UACGGAGGGGGCUAGCGUUGUUCGGAAUUACUGGGCGUAAAGCGCACGUAGGCGGCUUUGUAAGUUAGAGGUGAAAGCCCAGGGCUUAACCCUGGAAUUGCCUUUAAGACUGCAUCGCUUGAAUUGUGGAGAGGUGAGUGGAAUUCCGAGUGUAGAGGUGAAAUUCGUAGAUAUUAGGAAGAACACCGGUGGCGAAGGCGGCUCACUGGCUCGUAACUGACGCUCAUGCACGACAGCGUGGGGAUCAAACAGG
rnacentral:rRNA from 1 species